rnacentral:rRNA from 1 species
GUACACGCUGUGACUAGCAUAUCAAUAAGCGGAGGAAAAGAAACUAACAAGGAUUCCCCUAGUAACGGCGAGUGAAGCGGGAAGAGCUCAAAUUUGAAAUCUUAAAGGGUUUCCCUUUACGAAUUGUAGUUUAAAGAAGUGUUUUCUGUUGAGGUUUUGGUAAAAGUUCUUUGGAAUAGGACAUCAUAGAGGGUGAGAAUCCCGUAUUUGACCUUUACUUUCAACUUUGUGAUAAACUUUCAAAGAGUCGGAUUGUUUGGGAAUGCAGUCCAAAAUGGGUGGUAAAUUUCAUCUAAAGCUAAAUAUUGGCGAGAGACCGAUAGCGAACAAGUACCGUGAGGGAAAGAUGAAAAGAACUUUGAAAAGAGAGUUAAACAGUACGUGAAAUUGUCAAAAGGGAAGCGUUUGACACCAGUGUUGUUUUUCUGAAAAUCAAUUAAAGAACUGUUUAUGCUAAGCUUGUUUAGACUUUAUCAGCUAAUCUGUUUAGUUUUGAGCUUUUCUUUAAUGCACUUUUCAGUUAACAAGUCAACAUCAAUUUCUUUUGCUGUAAAAAAGCUUGAGGAAGGUGGCUUGAGAUUCGUCUUAAGUGUUUAUAGCCUCUUGCCUAUGCAGUCGGAGAGAUUGAGGUCUGCAGCGUAGAUCCUUCGGGGCUAAAUGCAUUUGUGCUAAGUUAUAGCAUUUAUAGACAACUUGUUGACUAUGAUUUGUCUUGUAGCUUACUCGCUUAUGUUAUUUUACCUACGCUUAGGAUGUUGACUGAUAUGUAGUCGUA